UUCUGUCUGUGAAAUUCAGGAGUCAAUACUCGAGACACUCAGAAGGGACAGGGUUUAAAAUUUCAGCAUAUCGUGGACUGACAACGAUAGGGCCACGGAGGACAACGUCGCUCUCGGCGCCUGAUCAACCAAACCCACUCGUCUAACAAUCCAGAUUAACAAAAUAAUCCAGAUCAUUCUCGCAAAUUAUGCAAAGACCAUGGCUCAUACUUCGCUAAGAAGCAUUUGGCCAGCAUGGGCAUCUCAUGCAUCGAGCAACUGAAAGCACAAAACUCCACAGCAAUCCUGGAUUAUUGUCACUAACUCACCACAACCUCCAUCUCAUGCAUCAAGCAACUGAAAGCACAAAACUCCACAGCAAUCCUGGAUUAUUGUCACUAACUCACCACAACCUCCAUACAUCAAGCAAGCCAUUAUUCGAAAACAAAAAACAUCCACCGGAUUUAUUGCACAGGCAGCAUGAUCUAAAGUUGAAACCCCCUCCACUCACAUGUGAUAGUUGAGGUCACUGCCAAUGCAGCGAUCCAGAGCAAACACAUCAUGGAGACACCAAGGGAUUGAACACAUGACCGACGAAUAGCACCACGCCUGUGAGGUCUUCUCGGAUAAGGAAGAGGAAAGGGUGAUCCGCGACGAAAUCCACCUUCACGGGCUCUACUGGCAGUGACCUAAGUGUGACCACAGAAGCAGUUGCC
rnacentral:lncRNA from 1 species